rnacentral:lncRNA from 1 species
GGGUGGGUGAUCCGUGUUCCGCAAUUGAGGGAUCUACCUCAACAUCUCCAACGUGCAUUCCUCAUCCAUGGACAAGCUAAGCGGUAUGCAUCUCUAAUGGUUCUCCAAUGGACACUCUUCAUCCACAGAUGAAGAGUGCAACCUGUCUCUCCAAAUAUUUUUCAAGGCGAAACAGUUCAAUGUUGAUCAGCUGACUUUGCAUCACCCCCAAAUGAAAACCUACAUAACCUAAAGAUCGAACUUUAGCAACCAGAAGGAAUCAGUAGGGGAUGUG